AGAGUUUGAUCAUAGCUCAGGAUGAACGCUAGCGGUGCGCCUAACACAUGCAAGUCGAGCGGGAUUAUUUGUGACACAGAGUCCAUGAACAGUGGAUUGUGUGUCACAGGUAAUUUAGCGGCAAACGGGUGCGUAACACGUUGAUACUUCCCCCCAAGUCAGGGAUAGCCUCGAGAAAUCGAGAUUAAUACCGGAUAGUCCCGAAAGGGUAAAGCAGCAAUGCGCUUAGGGAAAGGUCUGCGGCCUAUCAGCUAGUUGGUGAGGUAAUGGCUCACCAAGGCGAUGACGGGUAGCUGGUCUGAGAGGACGGCCAGCCACAAUGGGACUGAGACACGGCCCAUACUCCUACGGGAGGCAGCAGUGAGGAAUCUUCCGCAAUGGGCGAAAGCCUGACGGAGCGACACCGCGUGAAGGAUGAAGCCUUUGUUGGUGUAAACUUCUUUUCUCUCGGAAGAUAAUGACGGUACGAGAGGAAUAAGGGGCGGCAAACUUCGUGCCAGCAGCCGCGGUAAUACGAAGGCCCCAAGCGUUAUCCGGAAUUACUGGGCGUAAAGCGUCUGUAGGUGGUUUUUUAAGUCUUUCUGUGAAACUUCGGGGCUCAACCCUGAAUUGCAGGAGAAACUGGAGAACUCGAGUGUGGGAGGGGCUAGCAGAACGGUAAGAGUAGGGGUGCAAUCCGUUGAUACUUACCAGAAUACCAAAAGCGAAGGCAGCUAGCUGGAACACUACUGACACUGAGAGACGAAAGCGUGGGGAGCAAAAGGGAUUAGAUACCCCUGUAGUCCACGCCCUAAACGAUGGAUGCUAAGUGUUGGACUUCGGUUCAGUGCUUCAAGCUAACGCAUUAAGCAUCCCGCCUGGGGAGUACGGUCGCAAGAUUAAAA
rnacentral:rRNA from 1 species